rnacentral:rRNA from 1 species
CCUACGGGAGGCAGCAGUAGGGAAUUUUGCGCAAUGGGGGAAACCCUGACGCAGCAACACCGCGUGAAUGUUAAGCCCUUCGGGGUGUAAAGUUCUGUCAAUAGGGACGAAUUUUGACUGUCCCUCUACAGGAAGCACCGGCUAACUCCGUGCCAGCAGCCUCGUUAAUACGGGGGGUGCAAGCGUUGGCCGGUAUCAGUGGGCGUAAGGCGUUUGGAGGCGGGAUGUCAAGUCUGAUGUUAAAGCCCGGGGCUCAACUCCGGUUCGGCAUGUGAUACUGGCAAACGAGAAUGUGGUAGAGGUAAAGGGAAUUCCUGGUGUAGCGGUGAAAUGCGUAGAUAUCAGGAGGAACAUCGGUGGCGAAAGCGCUUUACUGGACCAUUAUUGACGCUGAGGAACGAAAGCCAGGGGAGCAAAUGGGAUUAGAGACCCGUGUAGUC